GCUGUCUUGUUUUUAUUCAGUGAGUUGAGUGCUGGUUCGGUCGAACCAGACUGUUUAUUACGUUUUUCGAAGGUUACAAGCAUUAUUGAACAAAUAACACAACGUUCUCGUGGAAGUGGAUUUCCGAAGAACAAAAUUUCAUGACGGUAUUGCGAUUUCCAAAAUUUGUGUUUGAUGUCUGCUCAUAACUCCCUUCACGGAUGCAGAGGGCAUCCACGAACUUGGCUUACUGCAUGCCCCACACGUCGGCCUCUAUUGAAAGAAUU